AAGCUUACACAACAUAUUGCAUAUAAAAGCAUUAUGGUAAAUAUUUUUUAAUCAUAAACUGUUUUAAUAUUAUUUACUUUGGACAGACGUUGCUGUGACUCCUUGGUAACAUGCAAAUACCAGCCGGCCCAUAUGCCGAUCAGCUCAAUACGUGCGUGUGACCCAAAGGGUGGCACUGAGGUCGUCUCUAGCGUAAACGAAGAAAAUACUCGCUUGACAUAGAAGAGCAAUAAAGGCAAGCCAUGCCAGCCCUGGUUUCUUCCAACGCCAAAGUGGAUACACGAUCAGAGGAGAGAUGACAAAGAGUUGCAUAUCUACAGCCAGAUACCACGUUUGUCCCAUGCACUGAAAGAUAUCCAAUGAAAAACGAUGAAGCUCAGUUAAAGGAAAUUGAAAGGAAUUGUUUUACCGCAUAGUCAGGAUCAAUUGGAAACAAAUUGUUAACUGUCCAAGAGAAAGAGGAAAUCAGUAGGCGUUGCGACAUGCGUUUGAAUACAGAGUCACGUUAUACCAAUAAGGACCUGUUCCGAGGUAGACAAUUAAGGCUGCAACGAAACCGAGAACGAAGGCGUAGACGAUGGUCAAACGUAAAUAGCGAUGCAAAUAAUAAAGG